rnacentral:tRNA from 1 species
CAGGGCGUGGCUGAGUACUUAGGCGUCUCAUCUACACCGAGAAAACAUUCAUGAAAGCUGAAUCACCCUGA